UUUGCCAAACCUUUGGAGACACUUUUUAAAAGCAAGCCAUUUUCUCAAAUAUAUCAAAGAAUAUAAUGGAAAAAGUAAAAAGACUAAGAAAAAGUUGAGAGCAAGAGCUAGGUUGAAGACUUCAAGGUUCCCCUUGGUAAUGAGAUGAAGCGUAGUGUUUAGAAAUCUGAAGUGGGGACUGGUUGAGGUCCUUAACCAGUAGAUAAGAGUUUUAUGAGCCAGCAGAUUGCUAGCUAUGGUCCAUGUCAUUUGGAAGAGAAGAAAAAGCAUGACCAGAACCCCAAAUGGUAUUUCUGGUGGCGCAGCUUCAAAGGCAGAGCCAGAGUAUAGCCACAUUUUAGGAAUGCCUGCCCAUUUUCCAAGCCUGGUUCUCCAGGCUCCUUGUCAAGUCUGUGCUUUUCUCAACAUCUUUUCGAUCAACCCUUUCCUCUAUGUGUUAGAGUCAGUUUCUGCUUCUUGCAAAGAAGACUCUGAACUAAUAUAAAUAUCCAAAGGGUGGUUUUUA
rnacentral:lncRNA from 1 species